GAUGAACGCUGGCGGCGUGCCUAAUACAUGCAAGUCGAGCGAAUGGAUUAAGAGCUUACUCUUAUGAAGUUAGCGGCGGACGGGUGAGUAACACGUGGGUAACCUGCCCAUAAGAAUGGGAUAACUCCGGGAAACCGGGGCUAAUACCGGAUAACAUUUUGAACCGCAUGGUUCGAAAUUGAAAGGCGGCUUCGGCUGUCACUUAUGGAUGGAGCCGCGUCGCAUUAGCUAGUUGGUGAGGUAACGGCUCACGAAGGCAACGAUGCGUAGCCGACCUGAGAGGGUGAUCGGCCACACUGGGACUGAGACACGGCCCAGACUCCUACGGGAGGCAGCAGUAGGGAAUCUUCCGCAAUGGACGAAAGUCUGACGGAGCAACGCCGCGUGAGUGAUGAAGGCUUUCGGGUCGUAAAACUCUGUUGUUAGGGAAGAACAAGUGCUAGUUGAAUAAGCUGGCACCUUGACGGUACCUAACCAGAAAGCCACGGCUAACUACGUGCCAGCCGCCGCAGUAA
rnacentral:rRNA from 1 species